rnacentral:rRNA from 1 species
UGGGGAAUAUUGGACAAUGGGCGCAAGCCUGAUCCAGCCAUGCCGCGUGUGUGAAGAAGGCCUUUUGGUUGUAAAGCACUUUAAGCGAGGAGGAGGCUACUUGGAUUAAUACUCUAGGAUAGUGGACGUUACUCGCAGAAUAAGCACCGGCUAACUCUGUGCCAGCAGCCGCGGUAAUACAGAGGGUGCGAGCGUUAAUCGGAUUUACUGGGCGUAAAGCGUGCGUAGGCGGCUUUUUAAGUCGGAUGUGAAAUCCCUGAGCUUAACUUAGGAAUUGCCUUCGAUACUGGGAAGCUAGAGUAUGGGAGAGGAUGGUAGAAUUCCAGGUGUAGCGGUGAAAUGCGUAGAGAUCUGGAGGAAUACCGAUGGCGAAGGCAGCCAUCUGGCCUAAUACUGACGCUGAGGUACGAAAGCAUGGGGAGCAAACAGG